GGCUACCUGGCGCAAUGGUAGCGCGUUUGGCUUCGAUUGCUGGACGUACCAAAAGGUUGCAGGUUCGAGUCCUGCGGUGGUCA
rfam:Lentinula edodes NBRC 111202 DNA, contig: scaffold41.